UCAGGCCGACCUCCCAACCCUUUGUCUAUUGAACCCUUGUUGCUUCGGCGGGCCCGUCGUUAUACGGCCGCCGGAGGACCGACUCCAGGUCCUCUGGCCCGCGCCCGCCGGUAGCCAAAAUCACCAAACUCUUGAAUAAUCGUGUCUAUGAUGUCUGAGUACUUUUAUUAAAAUUAAGCAAAACUUUCAACAACGGAUCUCUUGGUUCUGGCAUCGAUGAAGAACGCAGCGAAAUGCGAUAAGUAAUGCGAAUUGCAGAAUUCCAGUGAGUCAUCGAAUCUUUGAACGCACAUUGCGCCCUUUGGUAUUCCGAAGGGCAUGCCUGUUCGAGCGUCAUUAUCACCCCUCAAGCCCUCCGGCUUGGUGUUGGACGGUCUGGUCGAGCUGCUCGACCCCUCCCAAAGACAAUGACGGCGGCCUGGUUGGACCCCCGGUACAUGGAGCUUCUUGAUUGAGCACGUAUCGGUUUCAAGGCGUCCCCGGGACCCGGUCUCACUCUCUCCCCUCGCGGGAGGGAACCCCCCUUUUUUCUAAGGUUGACCUCGGAUCAGGUAGGAAUACCCGCUGAACUUAAGCAUAUCAAUAACGAAGG
rnacentral:rRNA from 1 species